rnacentral:rRNA from 1 species
UACGUAGGUGGCAAGCGUUGUCCGGAUUUAUUGGGUUUAAAGGGUGCGUAGGCGGUCUUAUAAGUCAGUGGUGAAAUACGGCAGCUCAACUGUCGAGGUGCCAUUGAUACUGUAGGACUUGAGUACAGACGAGGUAGGCGGAAUUGACGGUGUAGCGGUGAAAUGCUUAGAUAUCGUCAAGAACACCGAUAGCGAAGGCAGCUUACUAGGCUGUAACUGACGCUGAGGCACGAAAGUGUGGGGGAGCGAACAGG